GCCUUGUUUUAGAGAAAAGGCCAAACGACCUUUUCUUUUACCCUGUGAGGCAGUAGCCUCCGUCUCUGUUGGUUCCAAGAGGAAUUUUUCUCAUUUCCUCUUAUCUACGAAGAUCCGACCGUCUAAACUCAAAUCUGACUUCGGUAACGUGAUCUACGAAGUUCGAUCUACGUUUCUACCGAUCGUUUUGAGGUUUUGUGUUAUUUGGGGCUUGCAAAGAUUCUCCAAACACUGGGUAUUAUUUGAAUAAAUUUUUGGUAAUGCAUUGCAUGGUGGUGUCUAGGAGACCUAAUACUUAAUAUCCGCGCAGCCAAGACUUUAAUGCUUUGGUUGCAGGUUCUGCGGAUAUAGAUAUUGACUCGUCUACCUAGCGUAUGGGAUACUAUGAUUGGAGCACAUCGCAACAGUCAUAAGUUAUGGACUCUUGGGUAGUCCGUAUUUUGAGUAUUUUAUUUAUGGCUCGUGUCCUACGGGGUUUACGUAUUUGUUGAGCAUGUAUUUUAAUAUGUAAUUAAUAUAAUAUGUUUUAUAAGCUUUAAAUAGAUAGAUUUGUAAAUGACUCUUGUUGUUGUAAUUAACUGUCAUGUAUUAGAUGUAUUUCCGCUUUUGAUA